rnacentral:lncRNA from 1 species
UGGCAGUUAUAGGGCAGAUAUGGGGCGGCUAUGGGGCAGUUAUAGGGCAGAUAUGGGGCGGCUAUGGGGCAGUUAUAGGGUAGCUAUGGGGCAGCUAUGGAGCAGUUAUAGGGCAGAUAUGGGGUAGUUAUAAAGUAGCUAUGGGGCAGUUAUAGGGCAGAUAUGGGGCAGUUAUAGGGCGGCUAUGGGGCAGCUUUGGGGCAGUUAUAGGGCAGAUAUGGGGCGGCUAUGGGGCAGUUAUAGGGCGGCUAUGGGGCAGCUUUGGGGCAGUUAUAGGGCGGCUCUGGUUCCCAUACGGGUCCCGCUAUGCCCCACUGCCGCCCCUCCCCCACAGGUGCUGCGGUUCCGCCCCCAAACGGCCCGGAAGUUCGGGGUGAGAGCCAGGCUGCCGGUGCUGCUCCCGGUGGCCGUGGUUGUGGCCGUUCCCUUCGGCUGUUACUUCGGAGCCGCCCCCCCCCAGCGACGGCGGCUGCGGCUGCUGCUGGGGGGGGUGGGGCGGUUCGCCAGGUGGGGGU